GCCGGCGUAGCUCAGUGGCAGAGCAUCGGUUUUGUAAACCGCUGGUCCGGGGUUCGAAUCCCCGCGCCGGCUCCG
rnacentral:tRNA from 1 species